GCAUUUCCGGGCGGCGGCGGGAGGAGAAGGAUCAUGGUGCUGCUGCACGUGCUGUUCGAACAUGCGGCCGGGUACGCGCUGUUCGCCGUGCGGGAGGUGGAGGAGAUCGGGCUGCAGCUGCCGCAGGUGGAGGAGAGCGUCCUCACGCUCGGCAAGUUCCACAACAUGGUGAAGCUCGUGGCGUUCUCGCCGUUCCGGUCGGCGCAGAGCGCUCUGGAGAACAUGAACGCCGUGUCCGAGGGCGUCCUGCACGAGGACCUGCGGCUGCUGCUGGACACGGCGCUGCCCCCCAAGAGGAAGAAGGUGGUGCUGGGGGUGGGCGACGCCAAGAUGGGCGCGGCCGUGCAGGAGGAGCUGGGCGUGCAGUGCCAGACCGGGGGCGUCGUGGCUGAGCUCCUGCGGGGGAUCCGGCUGCACUUCCCGGCGCUGGUGCGGGGCCUCACGGCACAGUCGGCGGCCAAGGCCCAGCUGGGGCUCGGCCACAGCUACUCCCGGGCCAAGGUGAAGUUCAACGUGCACCGAGUGGACAACAUGAUCAUCCAGUCCAUCAGCCUGCUGGACCAGCUGGACAAGGACAUCAACACCUUCUCCAUGCGCGUUCGGGAGUGGUACGGGUACCACUUCCCCGAGCUGAUCAAGAUCGUCCCCGAGAACUCCAUGUACUGCCAGGUGGCCAAAUUCAUCGGGAACCGGCGGGAGCUGAGCGAGGAGAGCCUGGAGGGGCUGGAGGAGAUCGUCAUGGACAGCGCCAAGGCCCAGGCCAUCCUGGAGGCCUCGCGCUCCUCCAUGGGGAUGGACAUUUCCCCCCUGGACCUCAUCAACAUCGAGAGCUUCUCGCGCCGCGUGAUCUCGCUGUCCGAGUACCGCCGGGGGCUGCAGGAGUACCUGCGCUCCAAGAUGAGCCAGGUGGCCCCCAGCCUGUCUGCCCUCAUCGGGGAGGUGGUGGGUGCCCGGCUCAUCUCCCAUGCGGGCAGCCUGACGAACCUGGCCAAGUACCCGGCGUCGACGGUGCAGAUCCUGGGGGCUGAGAAGGCCCUGUUCAGGGCUCUGAAGACGCGCGGGAACACCCCCAAGUACGGGCUCAUCUUCCACUCCACGUUCAUCGGGAGAGCGGCCGCCAAGAACAAGGGGCGCAUCUCGCGGUACUUGGCCAACAAGUGCACCAUCGCCUCCCGCAUCGACUGCUUCUCGGAGGUCCCCACCAGCGUGUUCGGGGACAAGCUGCGGGAGCAGGUGGAGGAGCGCUUGGCCUUCUACGAGACCGGGGAGCCCCCCAGGAAGAACCUGGAGGUGAUGAAGGAGGCCGUGGUGGAGGCUAACGAGGUGGUGGCUGAGGUGAAGAGGAGACAGGAGAAGAAGGAGAAGAAGAAGAAGAAGCGGGAGAAACGGCGGCUGGAGGCCCUGGCAGCGGCUGCUGGGGAGGCAGAGGAGAACUCGGUGAUGGAGACAGAGGAGAACGAUGUGGGGGCCAAAAAGAAGAAGAAAAAGAAGAAGCAGAUGGAGGAGGCAGAGGCUGAGCCCGAGGAGAACGGGCUGGAGGAGGAGGAGGAGGAGGAGGAACCCCUGCCCAAGAAAAAAAGGAAACUCGUGGUCGAGCAGGAGGAGGAGGAGGAGGAAGAGAAGAAGAAGAAAAAGAAGAAGAAGAAGAAGGCAGUGGCCCAGGACUUGGAGGAGGAUUAGGGAGCAGGGACUGGAGCAGGAGCUCCAUCACAUGAACAGACGGACUGACAGACUGAGGAACAGAGGACUGACAGACUGAGGAGCAGGAGGAGCUCGGGGCGGCCCCUGCCGUGUCCUGGGCGUGUCCCGUGGCAGAGGCCACACUGAACUGUGCCACGCUGAACUGUGCCACGCUGAACGUGUCGUGGCCCCUCAGGGCCUGGCACAUGACCCCAGGGACAAGUGCAGGAGAGAGGAGAGGAGCCAGGAUUCCAGCUGGAAAGAAGAGCAGAGCCAGAAUUCCAGCUAGAAGAGAAGAGGGGCUGGAAUUCCAGCUGGGAGAGGAGCUGAAAUUGCAGCUGGAGAGAGGAGAGGAGCCAGAGCCUCGCCCAGGACACAGAGCAGCCCAGGACACAGCACAGUGACACCGAGACAGAGCCCCACACUCACUUUGCCGCCUUUGAUCACCUUCUUCACCGCGUCCGAGAUCAGGUUGGAGUGGUACUCCAGGCUGGAGGGGAGAGCAGCGGGUCAGCCCCCUGCAGCCCCCCAGCAGCCCCCCGUGCCCCGCCCAGCACGUACUUGAGGUGCCGCAGCAUGUUGGAGGCCGACAGCAGCAUGGCCGUGGGGUUGGCGAUGUUCCUGCCCACGGCCUGGGCGAAGGGGUGCCGGGCGCCCUGCGGGACACAGCCAGGGUGAGGGGACACAGCCAGGGUGAGGGGCCCUGUGCUCCCCUCAGCCCCCCGGCCCCCAGAGCCGCUCACCAGCUCGAACACGGCGUACUCGGCGCUGUAGCUCUCCCCGGGCACGACGCCCGCGCCGCCCACCAGCCCCGCCGCCAGGUUGUCCACGAUGUUCCCGUACAGGUUGGGCAUCACCAGCACGUCGAACUGGUACGGGUUCUGCACCAGCUGCGGGGGCACGGGGGGCUCGUGAGGCCCUGCACACCUGGGGGCAGCUGGACCCACUCCAGACAGGGCAGGUCACCAAUGGGGGGGCAGAACACGGGAGUGCCUGGGGGGCUGGGUGAGCUCCAAGGUCUCCUCCAGGGCCCAACGGAGCUCCAGGAGAGCUGGAGAGGGAUUUGGACGAGGGAUGGAGGGACAGGACAAGUGUCCAGGUGCAGCUUUUGGGGUUCCAGCUCCUGGGGGAGCAGCAGUGGGUGGUGCAGGGGGGCUCACCUGCAUGCAGCAGUUGUCAAUGAUCAUGGUGUCGAAUUUGAUCUUGGGGUACAGCUCUGCCACCUCCUUACAGCACUGCAGGAACAGCCCGUCCCCCAGCUUCCUGCAGAGAGCAAACACCAGGAAGGGUUGGUGGGAAACGGGAAUCCUUAUGGCACCAGGUGUCCAACAGGAACUGCAGGUGUCCAACUGCAGCUGGGGCCAGUGAUAAGUUGGGGCUUCUGAUGCUGCUUUGUUCCCUCCCCCCAGCCCCUCUCUCCCUUUCUGCCAUCUCCCAGAAGAAUGUGCUUUGUCCCAGGUAAACACACCUGGAAGGACUAAAGAGAGCACAACUUCCUGUCUCAAGCACUGUCAAGGCCACAGAAGGAACUUCCCAGGAGAUAAAGCAGCACAGCAAGAACUUGAGGUAAGCACAGAUGGCAGGAAUUUACACCAGGAAGGUGCUCAUUCCAGGCCUAGCAGAGCCCAGGUUUGGUCAGGUAAUAAUGCACUCCGUCAAAUUCCCACUGUGGGAAACUGUGGGAAAGGAACUGACUGCUCACAGAGGGCACCCCAAGUCAAGGGAGCAUCCUCGUGGGCACCCUGAGCUUGGAGAGAACAGAGGUGGGAGAGGAACUCUGUUCUGGAGCUGCUGCACUGGCUCUGAGUUAUCGAGAACUCUGCUCAGCCCCAAAGCAUGUCCCGCUCAGUGGCAGGCCCUGGAACCGCUGACAUCCCAGCACCACAGACGGUGUUCCAGGGCUGGGCAGCCCAGCCAGGGCUGGCCCCGAGGGGACAGCGGUGUCCCCAUGGCACUCACAUGAUGUUGGCCUUGUGCACAGCGGUGACCUUGGCCCGGCCCUUCUUGGUGGCGUAGUCGAAGGCGAACUUGGCGAUGCGCUGGGACUUGGCGCGGGUGAUGAUCUUCAGGCACUCGAUCACCCCCUUGGCACUCUGGGGGCACAGGGGGGUCACACACAGCACAGCACAGCACAGCACAGCACCCCCAGGCGUGGGCUGGACAGAGCUGUCUCCCCAGCAGCUGGGAUUUAGGGUGAGGAUGAUGACGGUAACACGCAGAUGCCGCGGGUGUUGCUCACCCCAAAUUAAGGACAUUUCGGUGCCCCCCUGGCCAGGGCACGAGAAUCUGGGGGGAGACUGGCCAAAGGGGUGUCCCAGCCCAUAGAAUGUCCUGCCCAGCAUAGGAACUGGGGGGAGGGAGGGGCAGUUAGUGCUGAGCAUUGGUCAGUGGGUGGUGGGAGAUUGAAUGGGCAUCACUUGUUCCACCUGGGGUCUGCUUAUCUCCCUCUCAUUUAUUAUAUUGUAUUUAUGAAAGUUAUUAUGUAUAUUGUUAUCUGUAUUAUGCUUAUAUUAUCAUUGUAUUUUAUUAACAAUAAUAUUUGUAUUUUAGUAGCAUUAGUUAGCAUUAGUAUUGUUGCUCUUAUUAUUUUGUUUCAGUUAUUCAAUUUUUCUUAUCCCA